AAUGAACGUUAGCGGCGCGCCUGAUGCAUGCAAGUCGAACGGUCUAUUGUUUCGCAAGGAGUAAUAGAUAGUGGCGAACGGCUGAGUAACGCGUAAGUAACCUACCUCUAAGUGGGGAAUAACCUGUCGAAAGGCAAGUUAAUACCGCAUGUGCUAACUUGUGAAAACUUGUUCGUAAAGCCUUCGGGCGCUUGGAGACGGGCUUGCGUCUGAUUAGCUAGUUGGUUGGGGUAAUGGCCUACCAAGGCGAUGAUCAGUAGCUGGUCUGAGAGGACGACCAGCCAGACAGGGACUGAGACACGGCCCUGACUCCUACGGGAGGCAGCAGCAAGGAAUUUUGCGCAAUGGGCGAAAGCCUGACGCAGCGACGCCGCGUGAGGGAUGAAGGCCUUCGGGUUGUAAACCUCUUUUCCUGAGGAAGAAUUAUGACGGUACUCAGGGAAUAAGUCUUGGCUAACUACGUGCCAGCCGCCGCAGUAA
rnacentral:rRNA from 1 species